rnacentral:misc_RNA from 1 species
GUGAAUCAUCGAAUCUUUGAACGCACAUUGCGCCUCCUGUUACAGGGAGGCAUGCCUGUCUGAGCGUCAUUUAAACCCAUGCCAUUGGCGAGCUUCGUCAUCGGCGUGUUGGGCCCUCGUCGACCGGGUGUCGACGUGGCCUCGAAUCCAUCGGUCGGUUUUGAGCGGACGAGAUCCCCUGGGACAUUGACCGUUCAUGCGACCCUAAAGACUUUGAAAUCUUGACCUCAGAUCAGGUAGGAACACCGCCUGAACUUAAGCAUAUCAAUAAGCGGAGGA